ACUAAUAAAAGCCCCAGAGGGGCUGAUCCGGACAAUGAGGGCCUUACGAUCGAUUUAUCGAACGGUGGGUAUUACUCCCGUGUUUGACGGCACAACGUUGUCCGCUCACCAGUUAAUCACCUUCCCCACCACUUAUCCCAUGGUCCCUGCCCAAGCCGAACCGUCUCCUGCUGCAAGACUCGCCCAAACCUCUAGAUCGCCACGAUUCACCCGUCCCGUGUCCACCACCUGCCAUCCCGGCCCCUGCCCACAUCGCCGCCUUCCCGUCGCCCGGGACGCGAUUCUUCCGGCCGCCCUGCUACACAGCCGCCGUCUCCAGAUCGGACCCCUCGCACGCUGCGGCCAGGCGCCGCCACCACCUCCCUGCGUGGUCCCGCAGUCCACACUCCUCCAAACAAGAAACUGCCGCCACCGCCGCUCGCCGGGGAGCCAUGCACCAUCAUCACCGUCCCUCCGCCCGCCCGCUGAUGCGCAGGCAGCCUCCGCCCAUCCUCUGCUGGGAUGCAUUUGUUAAUUGUGGUUUAAUCUUGUUCAUGGUGUGAGCAGCUUGCCUGACAGUACACCAAGAAGGAUAAACCUGCAAAAGAAGAAGUCGUUAAAGUUACCCGGCCUUAAGGAAGGCUGAAGCAGUGAAAAGAAGGGUUUUAUCUAUUUCUUCUUCAUGAUUUAUACUUGAUUGUUGGACGCAUCUCGCAGAGUUUAUGAAUCCACAAUAGUAGGAGUUAUUGUUUUGGGGAAACGGGAAUAUCUGCAUCGUCUACAUUGUGACCUGCAAGUGAGCUGCUAGCCUGAUGUAACUGAAGCACGAUUCAAGAGUAGCGUAUCUAACCAGGUUUCAGUUUACUUUAUUUUUCCAGGACGUACUGGUAGCUCGGUCUGCCUUGAGUAAGGCUACUCCGAGUAUUAUACCCUUUCCAUUUGGCAAGUUAAUACCAUCAUCGCAAUACUGAAGUAGGUAACUACUGAUAAUCUGCAGCGAGUGUAAUAUACCAAACCGAUAUUGUAGAUUCAUUGUUUUGUCUUCUGUGCAAUAUUAAAGAAAGGUUAAAUUUGCGAUGAUGGAAUUAACUCACCUUCAUAUUUCCAUGCAAAUGCAAGUGGAUCGUAAGAAUUGCAGUAACUUGCACAUCAUCAACAAUUUGUUUUUUUUUAAUAAUUUCGUAGUAGUUUACAGGAGGGAAGAACUCAAUCGUCGCCCAAGUCAUUUUCUCACAACAUUUUUUUUUGUUUCCAUACAACAUGCAGGCUUAAUAUAUUCUGGACUAAUUAUGUAAGCAAUAACUGGUAAUUUGAAGUUAUCUCUUUCCACAUGCUAGGCAAGAACGAAUAUUUACUUUGAUUUAACAUGUGUUAGGGAUUCUAGAAACUGAUAAGGCUAUUGCUACGUGAACAUCACUCAAUGAUGUUUGUAGAAUCAUUGUUCAUCGCUCAGUGGCAUAUGCUCUGCUUGCCUCCGAAUUAUUAGAGAGGCAUCGAUGUGUUAGGAUAUUGAGUUGACAAUCGCCAACGAUGUCACGCUCAAAGGCGCAUGAAGCUCAAGAUUAUCGGUUGGGACGAGAAACUAGAACCAAAACACAAUAGCUAAUCUAUAUUAUAGCAAUUGUUUGUGGCUUCUUUUACAUCUGUCAUUUGUUGAGAAAUUAGCUAUUUCAAGCAUGUAUUUGUUGUAAUGCUAUAUGAAUUUCAAAGGUCUAUAUCAAGAGUUGUUUUGUAAGUUUCAACAUUUUGUAAUGUACAAUUAUAACUUAUUAGGGUACCAUAACAUGGCGAAUAAUAAGAGGUAGAUAUAUUUUCUCCUGGUA